CCAGAAGCCUCGCCAAUAACAAAAAGAGGUAAUACAUAUUUUGUACAAUAUAUGCAUUAUUUUUUGUAUUCUUACAAUAGAGUAAGCUAGAAAAAAAAGAAAAUGUUCUUAAGAAAAUCAUGAGGAAGAGAAAAUGCAUUUAUCGUAUAUAUAUGUAUAUACCGAAAAAUAUGCACAUAUGAGUGGACACAAGCAGUUCAAAUCCACGUUGUGCAAAGGCCAACUGUAUUGCGUUUCCAAUAUCAGGCUAUGACAAAAGAAAAAAAAAUAACGUCAUACAAUAUCAUAGAGUCACAUUUGGAUGGAGAAGAGAAAAGCCGCUUUUACGGCAACUGAGUGGAAUCAGGCCUGCUGUUUGGACAACCCCAGGACGUCUAAGAGCGCUCGCUCCUAACCCUGCCCCCCCCUCCCGCCCCCCUGCCGCCGCCUGGACACCUUGAGAAGUUACCCAGAAAGCAGUUAUGACCCGCAGAUUUUGUCCCACUCCAAACGAGCAUCCUUGGCUCUGGUGUUUAGGGAAGAUGUCUAUUUCCUCCCUCCAUCUCCCCAUGUCUGAGGAAUGACCCCUUUAGCUUCUGCUGUGGGGUUGGGGCCUCUGGGCCAUCCUUCCAGCUCCCAAGUUUGGUAAAUGUUUAGCAGUGUGCCCGGGCCAACUCCCAUUCUAAAUGCUAUAUUCCGAAUAAUACAUAUAACAUUUGCAUUACACAUAAUGCAAAUGUUAUUCUUUCAUUGCAUCCUUAUGUAUAAUCCUUAUAAGAUCCUACCCAUGAGGUAGAGGUCAUUUUUAUUUUUCCCAUCUUACAUGUGGGGAAACAGAGGCACAGAGUCGCUGUUCACCUUCCCUAGGGGGUCUCAGCACACCCGCAAGGAAGCUGAGAUCCAGCCGGGCAAUGGAGACCCUGGCACAUGACUAUUUUGCUGCCCCACCUGUGGUGCUCUCCCCUGCCUGUAAUCCUUGUUUGGGAUGUGUCAAAAAGGAGUUCUCUUGUGGCAGAGUGGGUUAAGGAGCCAGCGAUGUCCCUUCAGGGGUUGGGUCGCUGCUAUGGCACGGGUUGGCUCCCUGGCCUGAGAAAUUCCGCAUGUCUUGGGCGUGGCCAAGAUAAGAAGAAAAGAAUAAACCGAUCCACAAAUAAAUAAAAAUGGCCUGUUCUUGCCAUUUGCUCCAGGUCCCCGGGAGAAAAUGAGGCAAUUUCAAGCAGAGAUCCCAGCUCCAGAACCUGGGGCUUGUCAUCCAGGAAGAGGCAGGAUGAAGCGCUGGGGAGGGGGGGGAAUCAGGUGCGCACCACGUGACUGAGCCCGCCUAGGACGUGCCCGUGACCCUGAGCAGGUCCCCCCCACCACCCCUCGGUGUCCUCACGUCUGCAGGAAUGAGAAAGUCACACUGGAUCAUCCCAAGCUUCCUUCCAUCUCCAGUCUGCGAAUCAAUUAGCCUCAGGACUGUAUUUAUUUCGUCACUUCCCAGCCUUGGGGAAAAGCCUGUCGUGUCCCCUGCCUUCCUGGAAAUAAAAGGGCCUCGAGGAACCCUGACCCCUCACCUUGCAAUUGUUCCCUGGGGUCCAGAUGGGGGAGAGGGGAGAGUGGGUGGCCGAGGGCACCAGCGGACCCUCCAGGCGGGGGCUGCCAGGGGGGCCCAGCCCCCAGCUGUGAAAGCAGCAGAGGUCAGACUAGGAUAAUAUUUAUCAACCCUCUUCUCACUGUGUCAGGCUCUGACCACACCACAGCGUUCCCGAAGAUCACAGAUCCUGUGUUUUAAGGUCCUGUAGAGCGGCUUCACAUGCGACCAAUGACCUCUGUCCCUCCUAGUGGGUGGGAUCUGAACUUGAGCUUCCAGGGGUCGACGGCUGGGAUCGCAGGCCUUUGAGCCUGUCACUCCCCUCCAGCCAGACCUUUUCUGUUAAAACUGUUUAAAUUGCAAACCAGUAAUAAAAGGAUCAUAUGUGUUUCCCACCGAACAGGUUCUUUAGGGCUAUUAUGAUAAUUAAAAACAUAUGGUGCCUGUGCCAGUCAGAGGGAAACUGCAGAUGUACAAAUUAGGUAUUAUAUAAGGGUUUUCUGCCUUUGCCCUUUUAAAAACGUCAACCAGAGAAGUUUAAAGAGAUAAAAUAGCAAUUGUGCAGAUCGUAGGUAGCAUUUUGGUUCCAGAAGCAUUAAAUACAUAAACCCUUUGCUUUAAAAGUACUAGGCACCACCCAGGAAAGAAGGGAGAAAAACACUCACGUCCGGAGUCUCCGGAGGAGAGGCAACGUGUCGACCUCACAAAGUUGUGAUCCCGUAGAAUCUUUUGCAUUUUUUAUGAUGUUGCUCUGCACAGGCAAAGAGGAUUAUAUUUAUUAAAUAUUGAAUUAUAUUCAAAUUGGAUGGAUGGGAGCAAAGAUAAGGAUUUCUUUACAUUAAACUUUCUUUGCGUUUUGCAAGUAUUGAUUCUUCUAGAAAGAGUCAUUUGUUUUCAUUUAAAAUAUGCAAUUGAUUUUGAGAAGGUGAUAAAUACGGCUAAUAAAAAAAAAAUUGGGAGGAUUUCUGUGGCUCCCUGUCGAUGGCUUUCCAAUGCAGACAUCCAGGACAAGUUCUGCGGAGUUGUUCGUAUUGAAAGGAUAUCGGGCUGGCUGGAGAUGCUGGCAAGAGCCCGCUGUGGCUCUGGGGUGGCAGAGACAAGGCACCAGGUCUGGGUCCUGAUGCAUGGGGACCUGGGCUUAGCACUUGGCCCAGGAUGUGACACUUUGUCCCUGUAUGUCUCUACUGUAGGAAGCCAACUCGAUUUCUCUAAAGAAGGAGGAGAUGGGUGACUACGGCCCCUACCAGCACUGUCCCUCAGGGGGGCACCCCCUUUCUUUCUCAUCCAGAAAGUAGGACCCUCCUAAGACGAGCCCAGCCAGAACCAGGAUGGCCUCAUCCCUGUCCUGCGCCCCUUCCUCCAUGCGAUGCUGUAGUGUCUACAGAGGACAGUUGAGUAAAAAGCCAGAUUUCUAAUCAAUUGCAAUAAAGGAGCAGAGAAGAGGUUCUACUUAUCCAGUCCAGCUGCCAGAACACUCAGAUAACCAGGACCUUUCAAAUCCUGGUGUGUAAUUACUGAAAUUCACAACGAGGGAGUGGAGACAAGUUGUGUUGAACAUAGUUUGGGGUUGAGGUAUUUCUUAUAUUUUUUGAAGACCCUGUAACCAGGAAGUGCCCUUUUCUUAGUCAUCCUAAGUCUGGGCUCCUUAGGAAAAAUGUCCUUUGAAGGUGGCUCUGGAGCCACAUUCCUGCUUGGGCGUGGAGUCCCUCUGUCCCACUGUUCUCUUUUGCCCACACCUUCUCUGUGUCCUGCAGCUGGGCCUGCAUCCUAGAGAUCCCAAGACAGGAAAAGUCAGAGGGGGUUCCUCGAACCUUCUAUCUACUGGACAAAACCAGCCUGGGGUGCAAGGUACUGGACCCCCAGCCUGGGGUGCAAGGUACAGCGGCGGUUCUCAAUCAGGCAUGUCCCCCUCACCCCCACCCAGGGGACUUGUGGCAAUGUCUGGAGACAUUGCGGGGGAGGGGGGGACUUGGUAUCUAGCGGGUGAGGGCCAGGAGGUUUAGCACCAUCCUACAAUGCAAAGGAGAAGCCUGCAGACCUGCAGAGAAUUAGCUGGCCCACGAUGUCAAUAGGGUAGGGCAGGAUGAAGAAAUCCUGGUGGACAGUUGGGACCACCGGGCCUUCGAGUGAAAUUCCAAGCUGGAUAAAUGGUGAGAGGUGAAGGGACAAGAUUUACCACCUCAUUCACCUGGUGCCCUUCAGCUCGCUCCCCAGGCACCCUCCCUCCAAGUGAUGUCAUCUUUGGACCUCACGCCUUCUCGGAAACUUUGCAAGAAACCUGGGGCAGCUGGGAGGCAGAAACUUCCAGCAGAGUAACCCCGAACAUGCCUUCCAACUUAGACGGGCUGGUGGGUGUGGGGAGGGGGGUGCAGAGCCGACAGCCAGAGCCAGUCUUUUUCUUCUCCCCCCGGGAGGGAGAACAAGCCUGCAGCUUUACUGCACAUGUAGGUAUUACCACUUUAACUUUUAGUGAGGUAAAAUAACACCUUGUCACUCAGGGCAAGUACCAAUCACAAAAUGAAUUAAUUGUAAUAACUGUUGUCAACGGAACAAAGGACUUGUUGCUUUCCUAAGCAGAUUUCAGCGCCACUGAGAACUGUAUACAAAUGCUCCCAUUGGGCCGGCUGGCAGCAAGUAGUCAGAACAUAAUUGUAUCUGUCUAUCUCUCUGCUUUGUUUUUAAGGGCUGAGGAAUGGAGUUAAAAACCUAUAUUUUAAACAUAUCAAUAAAUAUACCCCUCUUUGUAUUUGUGACGUCUCCUCAAAAACAUGGCGUCUUUAAUAAAUUGGCCAUGAAAAUAGCAUUUGCGGCUGAUGGUCCCAAAUAAGAGCCAGCUGUAGAGGCUGCCUGGAGACUCUAAGUCAGGAGGGGAAUUAUGCCCAAUUACCCUCCCAUAAAACACCCUCUCAUUUCUGGGAGUUAUCAAAACACAUCCCGUGGACAAGCGGUCAGCUGUCCCCCGCUCCUCAAAAGGAGACAAGUGGGCCCCACGCUGGGCCCGCAGUGCUCCUAACUGCCUCCACUCCACACCAGCGGCUUGUUUGCUCUCAGCCUCUUUUUACAGUGGCCCUUCCCUUCUUUUUUUUUUUCCCCCUCGUUCUGGCUUUUUCACAUUUUAGCACAUUUCCCCCUUCAGGAAGCCCCGUGGGUACUCCUUUAAGACAAGAGUUGCUCCUGGAGUGGGGAGGGCAAGAGUGGCCGGGGGGGCAGGUGGCUCAGGAGUCUGCAGCAAGCUGUGGCCCCAGCUGAGCUCUGCUCACAUCCAUGGGGGUGGGGAUGUCUGCUGGAGCUUGGGUGGGACUGACAGGCUAAGGGGGGCAUGUCGCUGGGCUUUGCUGAGGUCAAAAGUUUGAGGAUUUGCUUCCCAAAGAGGAAACGCAAGGAAACUGCUUUGGGCCUUUAGGCAAAGCCUUCUUUAGUGAGAAGCAUGAACGACUGGGCUCACAUGAUACAACGGGGAUACCAGGGGUCGUGAGGACUCCCCAGUCACACCACCUUAUAAGCACUGAGCCCACCCUCCUUUCUCUCAUGCCUCCUCCUGUUGCUUCUCUGUGCUCUUGGACCCCUGUGACCCCAGCAUCCAACUCCACACCAGUCUCAGAGGCCUGUCUCUCUACCCCCAUCCCUGACACCCCUCAGGCAGCCUGCUCUAUUUUUAGAGCUCUUGAGGCCAAAAUUGCUCUCUCCAUAAUGAAGUGGGGAUUCUUAGACCAUCAGAGCCAGGAGUCAUCUCCGAGGUCAUUUUCCAGAUGCCGAGUAGGGAGAGGCCUUGCCCUUGGUUGCUGAACCAGAUACAAGGGUUGAUGCUGUUUCCAGGUGUCUGGACAGGUCCCUGUAACUCGCUCUUGUUCUGCCAUCCGGGCCAGUCGUGAGCAGCUUCUUCCUCUUCGGGAUAAGUACCUAAGCAGGGGAGGUGUUCCUGUGACUUGCCCUUGCAGUACUGGGGCAAUUUUCACUGCUCCCCUCCCCCUGCAGAGGGCCGGGCCACUUCAGAAGCAAGAGUAAGGCAGCCCUGGCUCAAAUGUGCACUGCAUUCAAAUUUGUAUAGUCCUCUCUGGCCAGAACAAGCUGCCACUUGCAAAAAUGCUGAGAAGAGCCCUGAUCUGAAAAAAGAAAUCUCUCCUGCUUCUGAGGCUCCUCUUCUCUGCAAGGGAUCCAGAUACGCAGCCUGCAUUGGGAAGGCAGGCUGGGGGUUAAGAAUCCGACACAGUGUCUGUGAGAACAUGGUUUGAUCCCGGAUUUUGCUCAGUGGGUUAAGGAUCUGGCAUUGCCAUGAGCUGUGGUGUAGGCUGGCAGCUGCAGCUCCUAUUCGACCCCUAGCCUGGAAACCUCCAUAUGCCAUGGAUGCAGCCCUAAAAA
rnacentral:lncRNA from 1 species